rnacentral:rRNA from 1 species
CGUAGGGUGCGAGCGUUAAUCGGAAUUACUGGGCGUAAAGCGUGCGCAGGCGGUUAUGUAAGACAGGUGUGAAAUCCCCGGGCUUAACCUGGGAACUGCAUUUGUGACUGCAUAGCUAGAGUACGGUAGAGGGGGAUGGAAUUCCGCGUGUAGCAGUGAAAUGCGUAGAUAUGCGGAGGAACACCGAUGGCGAAGGCAAUCCCCUGGACCUGUACUGACGCUCAUGCACGAAAGCGUGGGGAGCAAACAGGAUU